rnacentral:rRNA from 1 species
GUGGGGAAUAUUGCACAAUGGGCGAAAGCCUGAUGCAGCGACGCCGCGUGAGGGAUGACGGCCUUCGGGUUGUAAACCUCUUUCAGCAGGGAAGAAGCGAGAGUGACGGUACCUGCAGAAGAAGCGCCGGCUAACUACGUGCCAGCAGCCGCGGUAAUACGUAGGGCGCAAGCGUUGUCCGGAAUUAUUGGGCGUAAAGAGCUUGUAGGUGGCUUGUCGCGUCUGCCGUGAAAACCCGAGGCUCAACCUUGGGCGUGCGGUGGGUACGGGCAGGCUAGAGUGUGGUAGGGGAGACUGGAACUCCUGGUGUAGCGGUGAAAUGCGCAGAUAUCAGGAAGAACACCGAUGGCGAAGGCAGGUCUCUGGGCCAUUACUGACACUGAGAAGCGAAAGCAUGGGGAGCGAACAGGAUUAGAAACCCCGGUAGUCC